UCUCGGGCGAAUAGUGAAAGUAAAACUAAACAGCAGCGUGUUGUUUAUUUUGAAUAAUAACAAUAAUAAUAAUAAUCUUCUAUUCUGAAUUUGAUCAGCAGGUUAAAAAUGAGCUGCUGCAUUUUUGUUAAAGGGUGGGAUGGAAAAGAAAGAACAGUGUGUGUGGAUUCAGAAGAAGAACUGAAGAACAUGACUGUCGGAGAGUUUAAAAGAAGGGCCUAUCCUGAAUUUGAAUUGAACCUGAGACUGAUCUUCGAUGGCAAACAGCUGGAGGACGAACAUACACUUGGUUUUUAUGGAAUAAAGGAUCGUUCGAUACUUCAUGCAUUAAAGCAUCUGUGUGGAGGAGGCCCGAGCUGUGCAGAAGAAGAUGAUGGAGAUGAAGCAAUGUCCAGGACUAGAUCAAUAGAGAGAUUAGCUGAAAUGCAGAAGCCCAGCCAGAACGGAUCAUGCAGCGUGUUGUGAUACUCUCGGGGUGGUGUUACUCCAAGCCAGCAGAGGGAGCCCUAACCUCUGGAUGAACUGUGAGCGCUUCCUCUGCUGCUACUUCCUCUUCCUGUUUCCUGGGAACUAUAUAUUCUGAAGCGGGUCCCUCACCUGCAUGUAGCAUUGUUGUAGUUAGCCUAGCCUUGUUUAUUCAUACUUUCCUUGUGGCUGUAUUCCUAUUGAUCUAUUGUUAGCUUGAGACUAUAUUAUUUGGAUCAUUCUUUGUUUGGGACGUUUAGGUUUACAAUCAGUGUUUGGUGCCUGUACAUCAGUAUCAUAUCAAUCAUUUCCUUUGCAUUUCCACAAGGAAACAUGUAUGUGUGUUCAUGUACAUUUAUUAAAUGCAUUGCAUGUUGAUCUUCAUAAUCUGUUAGUGUGUGGAUAAGAUCCCUAAAGUUGCAAGGACUUAAUUUUAAGAUAUUCUUUGUGAAAGAUUGCUUGUCCACACCCCCCUAAAAAGACUAGUUUAAACACGUCUCUACGUCACAGAGUGGUUUAUUUGCAUAACUCCGCCCACAUGUUUACUCAAAGAAAUAAGGCGGAGCUAUCAUUCUGUGUGUAGUGUUGCUGCGGGCGCCAUGUUCUGGAGACGCUGGGUUUCGUUGAAACUGAAACUACUUUGUGUUUCUAAAAGAGGACAGGACUAGAAAUCAGUGUUAAGUUGUGUUUUCUACACCGUUCAGAACAGUGUAUUUAAUACCAAACUGUUCACUCUCUUCAUUAUACAUCCCUAUCGUUGUAUUCUUCUACUUUAUUCUGUUCAGUGCUUUGAUAAAAACCUGUGUUGUUAAAAGCACUAUAGAAAUAAAAAUGAUUGAUUGAUUGAUGUGUCCCUAACACCCAUCUACAAAUAGCUUAUCUGAGAGAUUUGUGCAAAGCUUGAAGAAUGAACUGUGAGCCACGGGACAUGAAAAGCUCACAGUAAACCAGAAGCUUCACGAUUUCUUGUUGGCAUACAGAUACAAAUCGAACACCUGCCAUGUUGUUCCUUGCGAGACCCUUACGUUCAAGGCUGGACUUGGACGUUGGAGUGUAGGAAUCACAAAUGGACACCUGCAAAGGUCAAAGAAAGUUGAGAUUGCAGCUGAUAUCACCUGGAGGCACACUGAUCCGUUGAGAAGAUCAAAUGUUCCUCUGGAAAGUGAUCCGGUGAUUGUUCGUUCUCCACUACUGAUGCUGUUAUCAGUGGAAGUGAUCCCGGUGAUCCUCCCGGUGUACUGUACUUCCUGCUGGAGGACCUGUGAAGAGAAACCUGGACGGAAACCACCAAACCAACUCGAUUUAUGAAAAAAAAAUAACAGUUUUAUAAAACAAAUAAAAGUGAAACUGUUGUUUCCUGGGCCAUGGGGGAUGAAAUGUAGUGUGCUGAGUUUAAUACUCCUAAACUAAACUCAAGACUCUUUUA